AUUGAACGCUGGCGGCAUGCUUUACACAUGCAAGUCGAACGGUAACAGGCCGCAAGGUGCUGACGAGUGGCGAACGGGUGAGUAAUGCAUCGGAACGUGCCCAGUCGUGGGGGAUAACGCAGCGAAAGCUGUGCUAAUACCGCAUACGAUCUAUGGAUGAAAGCGGGGGACCGUAAGGCCUCGCGCGAUUGGAGCGGCCGAUGUCAGAUUAGGUAGUUGGUGGGGGAAAGGCCUACCAAGCCGACGAUCUGUAGCUGGUCUGAGAGGAGGACCAGCCAAACUGGGACUGAGACACGGCCCAGACUCCUACGGGAGGCAGCAGUGGGGAAUUUUGGACAAUGGGCGCAAGCCUGAUCCAGCAAUGCCGCGUGCAGGAAGAAGGCCUUCGGGUUGUAAACUGCUUUUGUACGGAACGAAACGGUCUGGGUUAAUACCCUGGGCUAAUGACGGUACCGUAAGAAUAAGCACCGGCUAACUACGUGCCAGCCGCCGCGGUAAGAC
rnacentral:rRNA from 1 species